UACGGAGGGGGGCUAGCGUUGUUCGGAAUUACUGGGCGUAAAGCGCACGUAGGCGGCUUUGUAAGUUAGAGGUGAAAGCCCGGGGCUCAACUCCGGAAUUGCCUUUAAGACUGCAUCGCUAGAAUUGUGGAGAGGUAAGUGGAAUUCCGAGUGUAGAGGUGAAAUUCGUAGAUAUUCGGAAGAACACCAGUGGCGAAGGCGGCUCAC
rnacentral:rRNA from 1 species